CCAGACCGUGGUGCCUUGAGCUGUGAGGUGAAUUGUGCUGGUUCAUGUUUUCUGGGGCUGAGGGCAAGGGCAGGAGAUAAUGGGUGUGAAACCCCACGGCGUCAGCCAGGACCUGGUUUUGCUUGUGCCAGGAAGUCUUGCAUAUUUCAGAUUGUUCAGGAGCACCUGCUCUCAGCAUCGGAGCUGAGUGGAGGUAAGAGGACAUGGCAGCACAGCCGAGGGGUGUCACAGCAGCGACUGCUGGGUGCCGCAGAGGCCUCGCCCUCCCCUGGCAGUGCUCACGUUCCAGCACCUUUCCAAAGCCCCGUGCUUUUACAGAAGCCUUUGCAGUACAGUGACUGCUGAGGUUUUGCACAUCAUGGGGAGAAACCCAGCUUGGAAUGGUGAUCUUUUGGACAUGGUAGAAGAUGGUGGGCUGCCUGCUAAUCCUUAGGAAAGCCAUUGAUGUCUGGUUGAAGCUUGGCUUCUUGCAAGGGGAAGAAAGAAAAGCAGAUGGGGAAGUCAUUGUCCCUUUGGCCUGUGCUCUGCCUCGUGUUUCCUGAGCCUGAGCUGAAAGGAGACAUCUUGGUAAUGAUGCUGCAGCACUUGCUGUUCCCUCGAAGGGUGGGAGCUGUGGGAAGUGUGUAGGGAUUAAAGCUGAGAGCAGCCCUUGCAGAUGCUUACACAAAGUUCCUCUUGGCUGCGUUGUUGCACCGCAGGCCUCAUUGCCUGCCUGUCCCUAACCCUGGAGUCCCUGAGAGGUGACAUGGGGUAGUUAAGCCAGAGCUGGUACAACGGGGCACCGAGGAGCAGCAGUUCCCUGCCCACAGGAGCCCAUAUUGCCCUGCAGCCCUCGCAGCAGUGAGUCCCAAAGUGCAGCUCCACAUGUGCUGCCGGGCAGUGUGUGGACACCACAUUUGUCCUAAGGGACAGGGACACAAACUUGGCCAGAAGCCGGGAAGGAGUGGGUGUGCUCUGCCUGGAGCACACGUCAGGGGCUGUCUGUCUGGGACACAGUGGGUCAUUGUUUGCGUCAUCAGGACUAGGUCCCCUCCUCAGCAGCAAGAAGAAACUCGAGCCUCUCAGGGCAGGUGCAGAGCGCAGCAGCUCUCUCUAAGCCUCCCCUGGAGCAUCGCAGGGGCAGCAAGAGCUGCUGACGUUUCCCUGAGAAGGAGCACUUGGACUUUCCCUGGCAUGUGGGCCUCUGCUGAUGUGCUCCUGCAGCGUGCACACAGGCAUUGCUGUGCUGGGGGCAGAGGGGUGCUCUGUGCAGAGCGGGCUCAGUCCCUCCGUGCUGCCCCGGGCCCCACCAUCAAACCGCUUACAGGAAAGAAUAAAGAAAAAGACUCGAGUUCUCCCUGUGAGGAAGUGGUCAAAGCUGGCAUGAUGUUCUAAGAGCAGCUGAUAGAACACGCACCACCAGUAUCUGAGAGGGAGCACAAACGAUUCUCAAGGCACCUGAGUGGGAUAUGUCUGUGUGUUUCCAAUGACAUUGAUCACGGAUAAGGACAGCCAAGAGCAAAUCACCUGCCUUACUGCACCAAACAGGCAGAAGCUGAUCCCAAAGGAGCUUUCAGACUGGAGGGGUUUGAGUGUGAGCAGUAAUGUAAAUUUACCUUCUGCUGCAACUCUAUGCACUUCUCCUGGGCUAGCGCUGCACCUCUUGAAUUCUCCAUCUGUCUGGACUGUUUUUAUUUUCUUUACUCGCAAGGCCACACCACCUGAGAUGCUCACAGGAAACUCGCUGUAAUGAAGAAAUGCAGAUGAUUAAUAAACGUAAUUUAAAGCAAA